GCGCGGGAAGAAACAGAGGCAUGGCGAAGCUCGCGAUUGCGAUCGUUAUGUGCGCGCUGGCUAUGGCCGCCGCGCUAUCUCUCUCGCAUGCGCAGGAUCUGGCGCCGGCUCCCAGCCCGAUGUCAAGCAAAGGCUUCUCCUUGGAUCACUCCAUUGCGCUCGGUCUGAUCUUCGCAACACUGGCGGCAGCGCAUCACUGGGGGGGCCAUGUCGUCUCGCUUUUCAUGUGAUGCCGUGAGGAUUUCCACGGAGAGAACAGUCUAAAGGGGAGCGUAUCCAUUUUGCUGUUUUACACACUCACAUCAUACAAUGUAGAAUCGUGUCCCUGAAUUGAAAACUUAGAUCGAGAUUUUAUUCC